GAGGUCCCGUACUUUCACAGGUACAGAUCAAGACGGUCUAUGACAUCAUGCAGUUCUCUCUAUUGCUGUUACGAAGAAAUGGUGAUUUUAAGAAGGCUCUAUCUAUAUGACCCACGGAGAGGAAAAUGUGGUUGGAUCACUAAGAAUUUGACCUACUACGUCCCAAUGUACGAUCAGCGAUGUUCUGUCAUAGCAGGUUAGCAUUA